rnacentral:rRNA from 1 species
AACGAACGCUGGCGGCAUGCCUAACACAUGCAAGUCGAACGAGACCGUCGGGUCGAGUGGCGCACGGGGGCGUAACGGGGGGGAACCUGCCCGUAGGUUCGGAAUAACUCCCCGAAAGGGGUGCUAAUACCGGGUAAUUUCCUCGGACCAAAGAUUUAUCGCCUGUGGUUGGGGCCGCGUUUGGUUGGCUAGUUGGGAGGGUAAAAGCCAGCCAAGGCGUCGAUCCAUAGCUGGUCUGAGAGGAUGCUCAGUCACACUGGGACUGAGCCACGGCCCAGACUGCUACGGGAGGCAGCGGUUGGUGCUAUUGGAGCAUGGGCGUGAGCCUGAUCCACCGCUGCCGCGUGAGCGAUGUACGCCUUAGGGUCGUAAAGCUCUAGUACCCGGGAUUAUAAUGACAGUACCGGCAGAAUAAGCUCCGGCUAACUCCGUG